GUCUCUAGAUGGGGAAGCUUUUUUUGUGUUAAAAACGUGGUCAUAUCUACCAUGUUUUUCAUGUCUCUAUCCUGGCCUAUGUUCUGUCCUGUCAGUUGGUCAUGGAAUCAUGAGUGAGUAGAUGGGGGGGGGGUGUGUACCUAGUUCAGCAUUGCCUACGUUGGCAUCUGCUGGCUUUUGGUGAAUGCUAUCUGCUGAACUGAGGCUAAAUUUAGGAAGUUGUAUGGUAAGUACAACGUGGUCAUAUCUACCACGUUUUUCAUGUCUCUAUCCUGGCCUAUGUUCUGUCCUGUCAGUUGGUCAUGGAAUCAUGAGUGAGUAGAUGGGGGGGGGUGUGUGUACCUAGUUCAGCAUUGCCUACAUUGGCAUCUGCUGGCUUUUGGUGAAUGCUAUCUGCUGAACUGAGGCUAAAUUUAGGAAGUUGUAUGGAAGUCCAGCUCUCCACUUCCCAGACAUAAUACUAUGCUUCCUCGACCCCCUCUGAUUGGAUGGAGCCAUGUGACUGAUCCUGACAAAUGACCCAUGUACAGCACAAGAGCUGCCGCCAGCCAGAAGACGCCAGAUGGCAGCGAGCAAUCAGAUCCCAGAGCAAUGUCACCUGCUGAAGGGAGCCAGUAACUAACUGACAAAGACAUCCUUGCUUUUUUAAAAUGAAAGUCAAGAUGGCCCACUUGUAUGGCUAGGGCCAUACUUGUAGAAUCGGCUUUGCAGGUGUUUCCAGGCAUAAUCUUGCCUUGGAUAUCCCAUCAUAGCCCUGGCCCUGGCCCUGGCAGGAUGCUUCCCUUCUAGUGUUUCCUAUUUUCUUCUUUGGCAUUUAGCAAUAGCUUCCUUUCUCUCUCAGAGCUAUUUUAGCAUCCCUUGUCUCCACAAGACCUUCUGUAACUCACUUGUUAUCAGGAAUAUAUUUAAAAGUACUUCUAUGAA